rnacentral:rRNA from 1 species
GACGAACGCUGGCGGCGUGCCUAAUACAUGCAAGUAGAACGCUGAAGGAGGAGCUUGCUUCUCUGGAUGAGUUGCGAACGGGUGAGUAACGCGUAGGUAACCUGCCUGGUAGCGGGGGAUAACUAUUGGAAACGAUAGCUAAUACCGCAUAAUAGUAGAUGUUGCAUGACAUUUGCUUAAAAGGUGCAAUUGCAUCACUACCAGAUGGACCUGCGUUGUAUUAGCUAGUUGGUGAGGUAACGGCUCACCAAGGCGACGAUACAUAGCCGACCUGAGAGGGUGAUCGGCCACACUGGUACUGAGACACGGCCCAGACUCCUACGGGAGGCAGCAGUAGGGAAUCUUCGGCAAUGGACGGAAGUCUGACCGAGCAACGCCGCGUGAGUGAAGAAGGUUUUCGGAUCGUAAAGCUCUGUUGUAAGAGAAGAACGAGUGUGAGAGUGGAAAGUUCACACUGUGACGGUAUCUUACCAGAAAGGGACGGCUAACUACGUG